rnacentral:rRNA from 1 species
CAGUCGCCGCGGGAAUACGAAGGGGGCUAGCGUUGCUCGGAAUUACUGGGCGUAAGGGGAGCGUAGGCGGAUCGUUAAGUUGGGGGUGAAAGCCCGGGGCUCAACCUCGGAACUGCCUUCAAUACUGGCGAUCUUGAGUAUGAGAGAGGUGUGUGGAACUCCGAGUGUAGAGGUGAAAUUCGUAGAUAUUCGGAAGAACACCAGUGGCGAAGGCGACACACUGGCUCGUUACAGACACUGAGGCGCGAAAGCGUGGGGAGCGAACAGGAUUAGAUACCCCUGUAGUCCCUGUCUCUUAUAC